rnacentral:rRNA from 1 species
UAACCAGACUCCUACGGGAGGCAGCAGUGAGGAAUAUUGGUCAAUGGGCGGAAGCCUGAACCAGCCAAGUCGCGUGAGGGAAGAAGGCCCUGCGGGUCGCAGACCUCUUUGGACGGGGAGCAAGGCCGCCGACGUGUCGGCGGAAGGAGAGUACCCGUAGAACAAGCAUCGGCUAACUCCGUGCCAGCAGCCGCGGUAAUACGUAGGGGGCGAGCGUGAUCCGGAUUCACUGGGUGUAAAGGGAGCGUAGACGGCCGUGCAAGCCAGGAGUGAAAGCCCGGGCCCCAACCCCGGGACUGCUCUUGGAACUGUGCGGCUGGAGUGCGGGAGGGGCAGGCAGAAUUCCUGGUGUAGCGGUGAAAUGCGUAGAUAUCAGGAGGAACACCGGCGGCGAAGGCGGCCUGCUGGACCGCGACUGACGUUGAGGCCC